AAAAUCUGGCAAGGGAGAUACUAUGAUCAUGAAGGUGGCUUUCCCAGGGAGAGGCUUAUCCAUUGCACUCUGGAUGUGCUGAUCCCUGCAAUUGCCACAAAUGUGGGAAACUUGAUUGCAUAAGUUGUGGUAGUGAGAGACUACAUUUGCACUCUUC
rnacentral:snRNA from 1 species